rnacentral:rRNA from 1 species
UACAGAGGGUGCGAGCGUUAAUCGGAAUUACUGGGCGUAAAGGGCGCGUAGGCGGCCGCCUAAGUCAGACGUGAAAUCCCUCGGCUCAACCGGGGAACUGCGUCUGAUACUGGGUGGCUUGAAUCCGGGAGAGGGAUGCGGAAUUCCAGGUGUAGCGGUGAAAUGCGUAGAUAUCAAGAGGAACACCAGUGGCGAAGGCGAGUCCCUGGACAACACCUGACACUGAGGCACGAAAGCUAGGGGAGCAAACAGG